GUCACAGAAACAUAUGCGGCCUUUCCUCUGGAAAGGUGAGACAGUGCUCAUGAAAAUGACUUGGCUAUCACCAACAAGGGAGGUGAUUUGUUCUACAGCCAGCUCUCCCCUCUACCGGUCCUCAGCCAGUGAAAGAAGAAUGACUUGGAAGAUGACAUCAAAUCAGGCUUGCUAUAUGGAGCUGAAAUUAUAGGCAGCAAAUCUCCCUUUUCUCCAAACGUUGCUUUGUGGAGUACAAGAAGC
rnacentral:lncRNA from 1 species